AUAUCUGAUUAGCUAGUUGGUAGGGUAAAAGCCUACCAAGGCAUCGAUCAGUAGCUGGUCUGAGAGGACGACCAGCCACACUGGAACUGAGACACGGUCCAGACUCCUACGGGAGGCAGCAGUGGGGAAUUUUGGACAAUGGGCGAAAGCCUGAUCCAGCAAUGCCGCGUGAGUGAAGAAGGCCUUCGGGUUGUAAAGCUCUUUUGUCAGGGAAGAAACGGUGAGGGCUAAUAUCCCUUGCUAAUGACGGUACCUGAAGAAUAAGCACCGGCUAACUACGUGCCAGCAGCCGCGGUAAUACGUAGGGUGCAAGCGUUAAUCGGAAUUACUGGGCGUAAAGCGUGCGCAGGCGGUUUUGUAAGUCUGAUGUGAAAUCCCCGGGCUCAACCUGGGAAUUGCAUUGGAGACUGCAAGGCUAGAAUCUGGCAGAGGGGGGUAGAAUUCCACGUGUAGCAGUGAAAUGCGUAGAUAUGUGGAGGAACACCGAUGGCGAAGGCAGCCCCCUGGGUCAAGAUUGACGCUCAUGCACGAAAGCGUGGGGAGCAAACAGGAUUAGAUACCCUGGUAGUCCACGCCCUAAACGAUGUCUACUAGUUGUCGGGUCUUAAUUGACUUGGUAACGCAGCUAACGCGUGAAGUAGACCGCCUGGGGAGUAC
rnacentral:rRNA from 1 species